GACGAACGCUGGCGGCAUGCCUAACACAUGCAAGUCGAACGGAGUUUCUUAAAUGGAUUUCUUCGGAAUGAAGCUUUUGAACUUAGUGGCGGACGGGUGAGUAACGCGUGAGGAACCUGCCUUUCAGAGGGGGACAACAGUUGGAAACGACUGCUAAUACCGCAUAACGCAUAGAGGUCGCAUGGUCUUUAUGCCAAAGAUUUAUCGCUGAAAGAUGGCCUCGCGUCUGAUUAGCUAGUUGGUGAGGUUAAACGGGCCCACCAAGGCGACGAUCAGUAGCCGGACUGAGAGGUUGAACGGCCACAUUGGGACUGAGAUACGGCCCAGACUCCUACGGGAGGCAGCAGUGGGGAAUAUUGCACAAUGGGGGAAACCCUGAUGCAGCGACGCCGCGUGAGUGAAGAAGUAUUUCGGUAUGUAAAGCUCUAUCAGCAGGGAAGAAAAUGACGGUACCUGACUAAGAAGCCCCGGCUAACUACGUG
rnacentral:rRNA from 1 species